UCUUCCCCGGACUUGGCAGCCUUAGAAUUUACCAAUCACGUCUACAUACAAUGUCUUCUUUAAUCUUACAGGUGGGUGAUUUAUGGACUUGGCAAGAUGGCGAAGAGAACUGGAUUUUCCUUAACAACAUUGGCCAGAAGCCUGCCUGUACCCCCAACUCGAGCAAUGCGUUGAUGUCUGGGAUCGACAGUGAAACGUUGUGAUGUCUCACUUUUAUCUCUGCGGACGGGUGAGGAUGAUGGCGACUUGGUUAAGUUGGUGUGCUGGACGGCCCAACAUGGAUCUACGGCUCCUUCAACUGUAGGAGGUAAAAUGGUAAGAACUGAAACUAUUAUUUUGGUGGGAAUUCAAGGCCUGGGAAGAGAGAAAAGAAAUAGAAAAACGAAGCUUAAGCAAUUC
rnacentral:lncRNA from 1 species